rnacentral:rRNA from 1 species
CAGCAGCCGCGGUAAUCCGUAGGUGGCAAGCGUUGUCCGGAAUUAUUGGGCGUAAAGGGCUCGCAGGCGGUUUCUUAAGUCUGAUGUGAAAGCCCCCGGCUCAACCGGGGAGGGUCAUUGGAAACUGGGAAACUUGAGUGCAGAAGAGGAGAGUGGAAUUCCACGUGUAGCGGUGAAAUGCGUAGAGAUGUGGAGGAACACCAGUGGCGAAGGCGACUCUCUGGUCUGUAACUGACGCUGAGGAGCGAAAGCGUGGGGAGCGAACAGGAUUAGAUACCCCGGUAGUCCCUGUCUCUUAUAC